GAGGGCAUAGCUCAGUGGUAGAGUGCUGUGCUUCUCAUGCAUGAGGUCCUGGUUAUUAAUUCCCAGUACCUCCA
rnacentral:tRNA from 1 species